GGAGUUGUGGUUCAGUGCCAGAACAUCUACUUGGCAUGUAGACGGUCCCGGGUUCAAUUCCUGGCAUCUUUA
rnacentral:tRNA from 1 species